rnacentral:ncRNA from 2 species
AUGAAUAUUUGGCACACCUGUCGAAAGGCAGGGCCGCAAAGCCAUGGGUCUAAAGAGUUUUCUCCAGGACAGCCAGGCCGCCCUU